UAUGGCUCAGGACGAACGCUGGCGGCGUGCCUAACACAUGCAAGUCGAACGGAGUGUUUCGCUGAAAUGAGAUUAGCUUGCUAAAGGAAUUUCUUGAAGCACUUAGUGGCGGACGGGUGAGUAACGCGUGAGCAACCUGCCUUACAGAGGGGGACAACAGUUGGAAACGACUGCUAAUACCGCAUAACGUGGAAGGGAGACAUCUUCUUUUCACCAAAGGAGCGAUCCGCUGUAAGAUGGGCUCGCGUCCGAUUAGAUAGUAGGCGGGGUAACGGCCCACCUAGUCGACGAUCGGUAGCCGGACUGAGAGGUUGAACGGCCACAUUGGGACUGAGACACGGCCCAGACUCCUACGGGAGGCAGCAGUGGGGGAUAUUGCACAAUGGAGGAAACUCUGAUGCAGCAACGCCGCGUGAGGGAAGAAGGUUUUCGGAUUGUAAACCUCUGUUUUUAGUGAAGAAACAAAUGACGGUAGCUAAAGAGGAAGCCACGGCUAACUACAUGCCAGCAGCCGCGGUAAUACGUAGGUGGCAAGCGUUGUCCGGAAUUACUGGGUGUAAAGGGUGCGCAGGCGGGACUGCAAGUUGGAUGUGAAAUACCGGGGCUUAACCCCGGGGCUGCAUCCAAAACUGUGGUUCUUGAGUGGAGUAGAGGUAAGCGGAAUUCCGAGUGUAGCGGUGAAAUGCGUAGAUAUUCGGAGGAACACCAGUGGCGAAGGCGGCUUACUGGGCUCUAACUGACGCUGAGGCACGAAAGCAUGGGUAGCAAACAGGAUUAGAUACCCUGGUAGUCCAUGCUGUAAACGAUGAAUGCUAGGUGUGGGGGGACUAACCCCUUCCGUGCCGGAGUUAACACAAUAAGCAUUCCACCUGGGGAGUACGACCGCAAGGUUGCAACUCAAAUGAA
rnacentral:rRNA from 1 species